rnacentral:rRNA from 1 species
GUGGGCUUGAUCCUGGCCCAGGACGAACGCUGGCGGCGUGCCUAGUACAUGCGAGUCGGACGAGCCGGGAGAACCCGGCUAGUGGCGGACGCUCGAGUAACGCGUGGGCAACCAACCCCCAAGGGGGGGACACCAGGCCGAAAGGUCCUAAAUCCCCCAUGUGGCCGCCGGGCACUAGGCCCGGCGGUUAAAGUCGGUCCGGCCCUUGGGGACGGGCCCGCGUCCUAUCAGGUAGUUGGUGGGGUGACGGCCCACCAAGCCGAUGACGGGUAGCUGGUCUGAGAGGACGGCCAGCCUUGCGGGGACUGAGAUAGGGCCCCGACUCCUACGGGAGGCAGCAGUAUGGGAUCUUGCGCAAUGGGCGAAAGCCUGACGCAGCGACGCCGCGUGGGGGAGGAAGGCCUUCGGGUCGUAAACCCCUUUUGCCGGGGAAGAAGGCCC